rnacentral:lncRNA from 1 species
AGAUAUCAAAUCAUAUAGUUAUUCUUGUGCGACCACUACACUUGGAAGAGAAUGGGGAAGGCAACGUUCCUUAAUAUUUUCUUGGUCUCUUUUUUGCUUAUUUUGUUAGGUAAGCAUUUUUUUUUCAUCUAUUUACCUAUAUUACUCAGUAAUUCAUAUUCUAUGUGCAGGCUGUAGUCACACUUUGUUGAUAAAUUUUGAGGUAGUAGCAUCUUUUUUGUUUCCUGAAUUUGGUCCUUUUCAUAUUUAAUAAUUAUAAAAUAUUUUUCAUACUUCAAAGAUAGUUUAUUAUUCGUUUUAUGAUUGCAACAACUCAUUCGGCCCUUUUGAGUAUUAGGACUCCUUUCUCGUAAAAGAUUCUUUCUGUGGGCUUAAAAUAUGAUCAUGACUAGCGAAAAUGGGUAACACAUACGAUUCUCGGUCAAUUAAAUGUGUAUUAGAGAAUAAAAUAAAAAAAUUAAGGGCGGAUCAAAGUCAACAUUUGGGAUGAACAGACAAGAAAUACGUGCAGUGAUCAAUUUUACAAAGAGGUAUAAUUAUAGUACUAAUCCAACUCUCUUUUAUGUUUCACUUAUGAUCAAUUUUAAUCCCUUUUCAAUGUAUUGAUUAUGAUAAUUCUAGUUUUUUUUUUAAUUAUUAACUUAGUUAACAAUGUUAAUGGUCUAAUCAGGACAAGGAAGCAAUGGGCUUACGUGCAGUGAAGAUGAUGACUGUAUUAGCAAUGGGCUUGUGUGCGAACAUGAGGCUCCAGUAUGUUGUUGGAAAAAAUGCUAUUGUCCUGUAUGUGACAUAAGGACACAUACUUGCUCUUGUCCAACAACUUAUCAUGGACAAAAAUUCCUUGAGACCAACAACAAAGACUAAUUCAUGUUUUUUGUGUCUAUUUAUAAUGAUAAAUAAAAGUUCCCUAUCUUCAUUUUGAAAUUGGAAAAUGAUUUACUCCGUUUGAAUGAAAAGGAUCUGAAAGCUACUUGACUGUGAGAAAAAAAGUUGAAAGCUAUUUUCCUUGCAAUGUUAUUAUUGCG